rnacentral:tRNA from 3 species
GGAGAGAUGUCCGAGUGGCUAAAGGAGGCAGACUGUAAAUCUGUUGGCGUAUGCCUACGCUGGUUCGAAUCCAGCUCUCUCCACCA